GCAACAACCUAGCCCAACUACUAAAAAUAGAAAACAACAAACAAAAACAAUCCCACCAAAACCAAUCAAAACAUUUUUCACCAUCCUAGUAUAGGCGAUAAAAA
rnacentral:rRNA from 1 species